GUCUUGUGCAAGAGCGGAGUGUAUUCUUUCCUGGUUCCCCAGGAGGUGAGCUCCUCACAUACAGGGGUCAUGCUGCCUUCUCCAUUGGAUCUUUGGCUUUGAGCAACCCACUAGACAACUGGAAGGUUUGCUGAAUGACUACUGUAUCACAUGCUGUCGCCAUAAUUAAAAGCCAGCACACUGAGACUGGCAGGUUCAUUUAAGUAACCCAAAACACCUUCUGACAAGGAGAACUGCUCAGAGCAGAAUGCAUUCUGCCUUGGAAGGUGAUGAGCUACCCAUCCCUAGAGGUGCCCAAGAGGAAGAGGACUGGACAUUGUCCAGGGUGGGAAAUGGAUGAGGAGAUUCUUGCCCUAAGGAAAAGCUCAGACCACCAGCCCCUAAGGACAGUUCCUGCUCUGGGGCCUUCGCAGUCAGAAGACAAGGGACUCCAGAGACCUCUUCGCCUUUUCUGCUUCAUGAGGAUAAUAUGAGAAGUUGGUAGUCUGUAACCCGCAAAACCCCAUCUGUCUGUAAGCCCUCACCAGAACCAAUCAUGCUGGCCCCCUGACCUUGGAUUUCCAGCCUCCAGAUCUGUGAGAAAUAAAUUCUUGUUGUUGAGAA